CGUCUUCAGGGCAGGGUGUAAUUCCCGACCGGCGGUACAGUCCGCGAGCUGAGAGAUCAGCAUGAACCGGUGCGAUUCCGGUACCGACAGUAGAGUCUGGAUGGAAGAAGGC
rnacentral:ncRNA from 1 species